UAACUGAAAGAGCUGCUGGAAAAGACUCUGGUCUGGCUGAACAUCCAUCAUAUUCCAGCUGGCAUGAUGCAGCAGCAUGAAUUGCUCUUCUCUUUUGUGGUGCACUGGUGCUGUAACUGCUGUGCUGCAUCAAUUGUUUGGGAUUAUAUGCAGAUCCCUGGUGACAAAGUAUUCCAACAGCAAUUUUCUGAGUCAAUGGAAGCAAUGGAACUGAGAAUGUGUGGCUGGUUCAUGUUCAAUGAAACUCUCUAAGGUUAACAUGAUGUCUAGGGACAACACACCAACAUAAACAACUCCUAGGACAAAGAGCUCCUCCGUGUGCUUUGUGGACAAAUUACAAGAAGACAUGUUCCAUUAAUUUGGCAUCCUCUAUAUCAUCAACAGGAAUUACAACCACUCCUUCCAUGGUAACAAGGAUAGAGAUGAUAAUUUUGUAUAAAUGUUCUUUUCUGGCACAGAGGCAUGUUUCAGCUAUCUCCUUCCAUUCCUCAACAUUGCAGAGAGAGCUAAAAGAAAAGGCAUGGGUGAUCCUUUCUUCUUGCCAGAUUAAUUCUCAUCAUUCCAAUAUCCCUCCUGCUUGGAGUUAAGGGGAAAUAA